CAAGAGGUUUCACCCUAAUUCCUGGGUGAGGUGCUCCUGUCUCCUCUCCUGUCACAGUUCUCACUGAGCACAGCCUCCACUGAUGUUAUACUGCAUAUCCCCUGCUGCUGGUAUCUGCCUACCUCGUGGCAAAGGUGGCAAGACAACCAACGCCUGGUUAUCAGGAAGCAAGGCCAACUGUUUGAGUGCACUGAAGGUAAACCUGCGGAGUGGCUUGGGUGUUACUUUGGAGUACUGAGAAUGGCACCCAGGGCUUCGCAUCUGUUGGGGAAAUGCUCCACCACCAAGCUAUCCCUCCAUCCUAAUCUACUAAGUGUUUUGUUUUCUUUUUCCAAUUACCCAAGAGUUUAUUUAAACUAAGAAAAGGAUCAUAA